rnacentral:tRNA from 1 species
GGGGAUUUAGCUUAGCGGCAUAAGCACCUGUUUGGCAAGCACGAGGUCGUGAGUUCAAUCCCCG